UGGGGAAUAUUGCACAAUGGGGGAAACCCUGAUGCAGCAACGCCGCGUGAAGGAAGACGGUUUUCGGAUUGUAAACUUCUUUUCUUAGUGAAGAAGAAAGUGACGGUAGCUAAGGAAUAAGCAUCGGCUAACUACGUGCCAGCAGCCGCGGUAAUACGUAGGAUGCGAGCGUUAUCCGGAAUUACUGGGUGUAAAGGGAGCGCAGGCGGGACUGCAAGUUGGAUGUGAAAUGCCGCAGCUUAACUGCGGAGCUGCAUCCAAAACUGUAGUUCUUGAGUGGAGUAGAGGCAAGCGGAAUUCCGAGUGUAGCGGUGAAAUGCGUAGAUAUUCGGAGGAACACCAGUGGCGAAGGCGGCUUGCUGGGCUCUAACUGACGCUGAGGCUCGAAAGUGUGGGGAGC
rnacentral:rRNA from 1 species